rnacentral:rRNA from 1 species
UGGGGAAUUUUGGACAAUGGGGGCAACCCUGAUCCAGCAAUGCCGCGUGUGUGAAGAAGGCCUUCGGGUUGUAAAGCACUUUUGUCCGGAAAGAAAACGUCGUGGUUAAUACCCGUGGCGGCUGACGGUACCGGAAGAAUAAGCACCGGCUAACUACGUGCCAGCAGCCGCGGUAAUACGUAGGGUGCAAGCGUUAAUCGGAAUUACUGGGCGUAAAGCGUGCGCAGGCGGUCCGCUAAGACAGAUGUGAAAUCCCCGGGCUUAACCUGGGAACUGCAUUUGUGACUGGCGGGCUAGAGUAUGGCAGAGGGGGGUAGAAUUCCACGUGUAGCAGUGAAAUGCGUAGAGAUGUGGAGGAAUACCGAUGGCGAAGGCAGCCCCCUGGGCCAAUACUGACGCUCAUGCACGAAAGCGUGGGGAGCAAACAGGAUUAGAUACCCUGGUAGUCCACGCCCUAAACGAUGUCAACUAGUUGUCGGGUCUUCAUUGACUUGGUAACGUAGCUAACGCGUGAAGUUGACCGCCUGGGGAGUACGG